GAGCUAAUACCGGAUAAUAUUUUGAACCGCAUGGUUCAAAAGUGAAAGACGGUCUUGCUGUCACUUAUAGAUGGAUCCGCGCUGCAUUAGCUAGUUGGUAAGGUAACGGCUUACCAAGGCAACGAUGCAUAGCCGACCUGAGAGGGUGAUCGGCCACACUGGAACUGAGACACGGUCCAGACUCCUACGGGAGGCAGCAGUAGGGAAUCUUCCGCAAUGGGCGAAAGCCUGACGGAGCAACGCCGCGUGAGUGAUGAAGGUCUUCGGAUCGUAAAACUCUGUUAUUAGGGAAGAACAUAUGUGUAAGUAACUGUGCACAUCUUGACGGUACCUAAUCAGAAAGCCACGGCUAACUACGUGCCAGCAGCCGCGGUAAUACGUAGGUGGCAAGCGUUAUCCGGAAUUAUUGGGCGUAAAGCGCGCGUAGGCGGUUUUUUAAGUCUGAUGUGAAAGCCCACGGCUCAACCG
rnacentral:rRNA from 1 species